UUUUUUGUAUAAGUAUGUCCCAUGCAAUAUUUGGGAUAUACUCAAACUAAAA
rnacentral:pre_miRNA from 1 species